rnacentral:rRNA from 1 species
AGUUUGAUCCUGGCUCAGGACGAACGCUGGCGGCGUGCUUAACACAUGCAAGUCGAACGAGAAUCUGCGGAAAGAGGAUUCGUCCAAUUGAAGCAGAGGACAGUGGCGGACGGGUGAGUAACGCGUGAGGAACCUGCCUUUCAGAGGGGGACAACAGUUGGAAACGACUGCUAAUACCGCAUAACAUAUAGAUGUCGCACGGCAUUUAUAUCAAAGAUUUAUCGCUAAAAGAUGGCCUCGCGUCUGAUUAGCUAGUUGGUGAGGUAACGGCCCACCAAGGCGACGAUCAGUAGCCGGACUGAGAGGUUGAACGGCCACAUUGGGACUGAGAUACGGCCCAGACUCCUACGGGAGGCAGCAGUGGGGAAUAUUGGGCAAUGGGCGCAAGCCUGACCCAGCAACGCCGCGUGAAGGAAGAAGGCUUUCGGGUUGUAAACUUCUUUUGUCAGGGACGAGUAGAAGACGGUACCUGACGAAUAAGCCACGGCUAACUACGUGCCAGCAGCCGCGGUAAUACGUAGGUGGCAAGCGUUGUCCGGAUUUACUGGGUGUAAAGGGCGUGUAGCCGGGAGGGCCAACUCCGGAGGGGAAAUCCCCGGGGAUUAAACUCGGGGAACUCCAUUUGAAAACUACUUUUUAUAAAGUUUUUGUAGAGGCAAUCGGAAAUCCCUAGGGUACCCGGUGAAAUGGCGUAGAUAUUAGGGAGGAAUCACCAGGGGCCCAACGCCGGAUAGCUGGACGACAACUGACCGAUGAGCCGCGAAAGCGUGGAAAGCAAGCAGGAUUAGAUACCCUGGUAGUCCACGCUGUAAACGAUGAAUACUAGGCGUGCGGGGACUGACACCCUGCGUGCCGCAGCUAACGCAAUAAGUAUUCCACUUCCCGAGUACGAUCGCAAGGCUGAGACUCAAAGGAAUUGAAUUGGCGGGGGCCCGCACAAGCGGUGGAUUAAGGUGUUUAAUUUGGAACCAACGCGAAGACCCUUACCAGGGCUUGACAUCCUACUAACGAGAUAGAGAUAUGUUAGGUGCCCUUCGGGGGAAAGUAGAGACAGGUGGUGCAUGGUUGUCGUCAAGCUCGUGUCGUGAGAUGUUGGGUUAAGUCUCCCGCAACGAGGGCAACCCCCUUUUUUUAGUUGCUACGCAAGAGCCCACUCUAGCGAGACUGCCGUUGACAAAAACGGAGGAAGGGUGGGGACGACGUCAAAUCAUCAUGCCCCUUAUGUCCUGGGCUACACACGUAAUACAAUGGCGGUCAACAGAGGGAUGCAAAACCGUGAGGUGGAGCGAACCCCUAAAAGCCGUCCCAGUUCAGAUCGUGGGCUGCAACCCGCCCACGUGAAGUCGGAAUCGCUAGUAAUCGCGGAUCAGCAUGCCGCGGUGAAUACGUUCCCGGGCCUUGUACACACCGCCCGUC